rnacentral:lncRNA from 1 species
UCCUUUUUCUGUAGCGCAACUCUUGUUUCAUUACCACUAAAAUCACCUUUUUUUAAGGAUACGGUUUAUCUAUUUUCUCCCCUCGGAAAUGCCACAAAACAUGAACAUUUAUGAUCUAAAAAGUCGUCUUCCCAUAUCCUUGUAUUCGGCUCACUAAACAUUAGAUCGUUGAAACUAUAGACACGCCCCAACAGCCUCCUUUCAUAUAAUUUAGCUGUAAAAGUCAAUUUGAGACCCGUGAUGAACAGCAACGCCCUCCAUCGUGUCAAAAGAGAAGAGAGAAGACAAGGUAUUGAGAGGAGAGGAAAAUAUUAUACCCAGAUUAUAGUUGUUUCUCACGGCGCAUUAUUCCAGGAUUAAUUGAUAAACCCCGUAAGUUCGCGAGGGAACAACUACGACGAGUGUGAUGAGACAGGUCGUGGAAGAAAUCAACGAAAAUUCAAAAUAAGAUGCAAAAGGGGACGCAUGCACUUCUGGUGCUCCGACGAAGGGAGAGCGUGGGGCGAAAGAGAGUAGCUAGCACCCUGAAGAAAGAUGGGGGAAGGAGUCAGUCAGAAGGCUCAACGGGCCGAUGCUCACACUUCAGUUGUAAAGACUGUGCGCCGUCUCACCGGGCUAUGCAGACUACAGAGAAGGUAUGAAGAUUCGGCUGAUCCCGAUAGAGUUUUGGAAGUUAUCGAUCCGACUUUCUACUGAAAAUUUUGAUCUAAGACUCGGAUGGCUGCUAAAUUCCGUACCGAUGGGUUCAGCGGGCGAACGACUGGCGGCGGCGACCUCAUCUCAAUAGCCCAACUUUCGUCUGCGAUCAUAGCUCCCUGGUCAGACGCGAACCCAGUAGCCAGACUCCGAGUCCUCGGCGCUGGUGCGAAGCAAUCAUGCUGGCAGAGGGAGGCAGGGAUGCGCAUCUCCUCUAUCGUUCGAUGAUCCCCGGAGUUUUGGUGGAACCCUCGGUUUUGUGAAGUGUUCAACAGGAACAGCACGGCAGAAGGUGAUGUAAUAAUGAUACUUGACCAAUAAAAAAUGAACAUAUAAUGAUUGGAACUGCGGCUGACAGACUUAUGGACCGACUCCCCUCUCGAGAGAUGGGAAUAAGAUCAACUAUUACUCGAAAAUGAGAGAUAGAGGGAUGACAGGUAGGGAAACAAGGUUGGACACUCUGAGUAGUCCGGCACUCCGUGAUUUAUCUCGGCCUCUUCCUGGCUGAUCUUGCUUCUUUAAGUAGUGUCUGUAUCAUGAUCUUCGGGGGAGAGGUUGCGAGUGGUGGACGUGCAGGAUGUGCGUCCCGAUGCUGGAGGACACGUAGUGCCAUAUAUGUAGGUAAUGCUCCGGAAACAUCGUAGGCGAACGUGAG